UGCCUUACACAUGCAAGUCGAACGGCAGCACGGGGCAACCCUGGUGGCGAGUGGCGAACGGGUGAGUAAAGCAUCGGAACGUGCCUGGAGUGGGGGAUAACGUAGCGAAAGUUACGCUAAUACCGCAUAUUCUGUGAGCAGGAAAGCAGGGGAUCGCAAGACCUUGCGCUCUGGGAGCGGCCGAUGUCGGAUUAGCUAGUUGGUGGGGUAAAGGCCUACCAAGGCGACGAUCCGUAGCGGGUCUGAGAGGAUGAUCCGCCACACUGGGACUGAGACACGGCCCAGACUCCUACGGGAGGCAGCAGUGGGGAAUUUUGGACAAUGGGCGAAAGCCUGAUCCAGCCAUGCCGCGUGAGUGAAGAAGGCCUUCGGGUUGUAAAGCUCUUUCGGUGGGGAAGAAAUUGCAUAGGCUAAUACCCUGUGUAGAUGACGGUACCUGGAGAAGAAGCACCGGCUAACUACGUG
rnacentral:rRNA from 1 species